GAAUCACGUGCACUCUCCAGUGAAUCUUUGUGACUCUAUUCCAGGCCGAUGAUGUCCCUCUGACAGAGCAAACGGUGGCACAGGUCCUGCAGUCUGCCAAGGAGCAGAUCAAGUGGUCUCUGCUUCGGUAGGAGGGAGGCUGAAGACCAAGGGGGGCGGUCACUGUCCCCACCUCCCCCCACCCCUCCCCCAGCUUCCCCGCCGAGACUGGGAUUCCCUCGGUGAGGGGGGUGGGGGUAGGAUGGUCCCCUCCGCAGCCCGGCGAGGACAGAACAUUCCGGAACGGGUGUGCCGGGGGUGUGGGGGGGAGGGGAGCAGCUCAGGGAUCCCGGUGGAGAGGGUCGGGGGUGGGUGGUCGGGGAGGGUAAGUGGUGAGGGAGCACGCCUGGUUGUUCCCUCCCCCUCACCCCCUCACCCCACCCUCUCACCCCACCGUACCGCGCACUCCGAUGUAUUUAAUGUCUCUCUCUCUCUCGCUCUGUUGUAAUAAAAUCGUUGUAUCACCUCGUGA